UGGGGAAUCUUGGACAAUGGGCGCAAGCCUGAUCCAGCCAUGCCGCGUGGAUGAUGAAGGCCUUAGGGUUGUAAAAUCCUUUCGUUGGGGACGAUAAUGACGGUACCCAAAGAAGAAGCUCCGGCUAACUUCGUGCCAGCAGCCGCGGUAAUACGAAGGGGGCUAGCGUUGUUCGGAUUUACUGGGCGUAAAGCGCGUGUAGGCGGAUUUGUAAGUUGGGGGUGAAAUCCCGAGGCUCAACCUCGGAACUGCCUCCAAAACUACAAGUCUGGACCUAAGUAGAGGCAAGUGGAGUUGCGAGUGUAGAGGUGAAAUUCGUAGAUAUUCGCAGGAACACCAGUGGCGAAGGCGACUUGCUGGGCUGAUACUGACGCUGAGGCGCGAAAGCUAGGGUAGCAAACGGGAUUAGAUACCCCCGUAGUCCCUGAGCGGGCUGGCAAGGCGCAU
rnacentral:rRNA from 1 species